GCUUACGGCCAUACCAACCUGGCUAUGCCCGAUCUCGUCUGAUCUCGGAAGCUAAGCAGGUUUGGGCCUGGUUAGUACUUGGAUGGGAGACCGCUGGGAAUACCAGGUGCUGUAAGCU
rnacentral:rRNA from 1 species